GUGCUCGCUUUGGCAGCACCUACAAAAAUUGGAAUGAUACAGAGAAGAUUAGCAUGGCCUCUGCACAAGGAUGACACGCAAAUUUGUGAAGCACUCCAUAUUUUU